rnacentral:rRNA from 1 species
UACGUAGGGUGCAAGCGUUGUCCGGAAUUAUUGGGCGUAAAGAGCUCGUAGGCGGUUUGUCGCGUCUGCUGUGAAAUCUGGGGGCUCAAUCCCCAGCCUGCAGUGGGUACGGGCAGACUAGAGUGCGGUAGGGGAGAUUGGAAUUCCUGGUGUAGCGGUGGAAUGCGCAGAUAUCAGGAGGAACACCGAUGGCGAAGGCAGAUCUCUGGGCCGUAACUGACGCUGAGGCACGAAGGCCAGGGGAGCAAACGGG